rnacentral:lncRNA from 1 species
UGGCUUAUUUCACUUAGCAAAUUUUAUCCAUUUAUCUGCAAAUGCCACAAUUUCAUUCUCCUUUAAGGCUAAGUAAUAUUCCAUUGUGUAUAUGUACCACAUUUUCUUUAUCCAUUCAUCUGUUGAAGGGCAUCUAGGUUGGUUCCAUAGCUUAAAUAUUGUGAAUUGAGCUGCUAUAGACAUUGAUGUGGCUGUGUUACUGUAGUAUGCUGUUUUUUAAGUCCUUUGGGUAUAAACCAAAGAGUGGGAUAGCUGGGUCAAAUAGUAAAGAUUUUUUUUUUUUUUUUUUACAAUAGGUAGUAUUAACUAUCCUGAUGAAUACACCUGGGUCAGGUAUUAUUUUAGGGCUUCAGAAUAAAGCAGUCAGCAGGUAGUGUAUUAAGCAGACAGUUCCUGCCCUCCUGGAACCUCUAUUUUAGUGGAGGGAAGUUGGGAGGAGGGGCAGACAGACUUUCACAGAAUGAAGAAAUAAUUACGCAAGAGAGGAAAGUCUGAGGUGUCAUUGAAAGAACAAGUAGUAUGAUGUAAAGAGGAUCAGAUACUCUCACCUCUGGCUAUGCCAUCAUUUGGGUCUGUUUCUCCCUGUGUUCAAGGCUUGGCCCCGGAGUCUGUAGGAGGGGUGUGCUCUUGAAGGGGAUUGUCAGACCCUAACUGCUUUGCUCUUUCUCUAAAGUAUUCUAAAAUCAUAACAGAAUGGUAGGUGGUUUCUAUUCGUCAUUAAGGGAAGAAAAUAUAAACACAGAUGAACUUUACCACUAAUGUGAAAACUGGUAAUUUCAUAUGGAUGUCAAAAUGUGAGGGGCAGAAAAUGAUGAAGAAUUUUCACAACUUGUCUCCCAGAAAGCAAUGAAAAAAACCUACUAACUUCCUGAAGAAC